rnacentral:tRNA from 1 species
GCCCAGGUGGCGGAAUCGGCAGACGCGCUGUCUUGAGGGGACAGUGCCCUUAAGCGGGCGUGUGGGUUCGACUCCCACCCUGGGCACCA